GUAGGUGAACCUGCGGAAGGAUCAUUAAAAAGAUCAACCCGGUGUUAAGUUAGUGAAAGCUGACUUAAGUCACGCCUGUUCUCCAGGCCUUGUGGGGCUGUUUUAAACUCACAGCAAAUUCCAGUGAUGAUAACUUAUGCCAGGGGCUGCCGCCCCUGGGCCGGUUGAAUCCCACCCGUGUCUACAUACUCUUGUUGCUUUGGCAGGCCGUGGCCUCCGCUGUGGGCUCUGCCUGCAUGUGCCUGCCAGA
rnacentral:misc_RNA from 1 species